GGAGGGGUGCCCGAGUUGGCCAAAGGGAGCAGACUGUAAAUCUGCCGGCGAUGCCUUCAGAGGUUCAAAUCCUCUCCCCUCCACCA
rnacentral:tRNA from 1 species